AACGUAGGAGGCAAGCGUUAUCCGGAGUUACUGGGCGUAAAGAGCGUGUAGGCGGUUGAGUAAGUUGCGUGUGAAAGCGCCCGGCUAAACUGGGCGAGGACAGGCAAGACUGCUGAGCUAGAGGCCGAUAGAGGGGUGCGGAAUUCCGGGUGUAGCGGUGAAAUGUGUAGAGAUCCGGUGGAACACUAGUGGUGCAGACGGCGCCCUGGAUCGGACCUGACGCUGAGACGCUAAAGCGUUGGGAGCGAACGGG
rnacentral:rRNA from 1 species